GUGAAAUGAAGACUCAAAGUUACGAAGAAGAUUAAAUAAAAAUAGAGUCCAAUACCUGCACCAUAUAGAUUCUCAGUAAAUGUGAAAAAUCAUCAGUGCUUUCACAGUUCCUGAUAUCAUUUGCCAACCUCCUCUAAAAGUGUCCCAGAUUAACAGUGAACAAUCAGGACAGCAUGGUUUCUGCAUUUCCAGCUCUAACAGUCUUAAUUCUAUGAUGGCAACCAUUUGGGGUCUGGUGAUGUCACUGACAUCUGGAGAAGAGAAAAACAAGGCCACAAGAACCAGUUUGGAGAAUGAGAUCAAUUGGCAUAUGAUUCCUGGAUAAGUGGAAGUUUCUGUUCUAUAUACUGUUACCCACUGAAAAGAACCCCAUGCAAGUACCUGUCAACAUAAUAUAAGGAUAGAAGACUGUGU